GGGGGUGGGAAAGGGCCAUAGCUCAAUGAUAGAGCAUCUGCCUCGCAUACAGAAUGCCCCAAGUUCAAUCCCUGGCAUUUCCA